rnacentral:rRNA from 1 species
GAUGAACGCUAGCGGCAGGCCUAAUACAUGCAAGUCGAACGGUGUCUUCGGACAUAGUGGCGCACGGGUGCGUAACACGUAUGCAACCUACCUUACAUUGGGGGAUAGCCUUUCGAAAGGGAGAUUAAUACCGCAUAAGACAGUAGCUGGGCAUCCAGUAGCUGGUAAAGAUUUAUCGAUGUAAGCUGGGCAUGCGUCCAAUUAGUUAGUUGGUGAGGGAAUGGCUCACCAAGACGAUGAUUGGUAGGGGAACUGAGAGGUCAAUCCCCCACACUGGCACUGAGAUACGGGCCAGACUCCUACGGGAGGCAGCAGUAGGGAAUAUUGGGCAAUGGACGCAAGUCUGACCCAGCCAUGCCGCGUGCAGGAAGAAGGCGUUCUGCGUUGUAAACUGCUUUUAUAUAGGAAGAAACGACCCUUGCGAGGGGCAUUGACGGUAUUAUAUGAAUAAGCACCGGCUAACUCCGUGCCAGCCGCCGCCGUAAUAC